UGCAAAGACAUUUAAGGCAUCAGAGAAAGCUCUUAGGAAACUAUAUAGUCAGCAAAAGGUUAAGUCCGAGCUACAGACGAAGCGAAUAACCUGGAGGUUCAACUUAGAGAGGGCACCCUGGUGGGGUGGAGUUUUUGAGAGGAUGGUACGAAGCGUGAAAAGGUGUCUUAGGAAGACUUUAGAGAAUGCUAGGUUAACGUUCGACGAACUUAAUACAGUUUUAGUUGAAGUUGAAGGUACAUUAAAUGCAAGACCGUUGACUGAUGAAUACGAAGAAUUUGAUGGUGAAGUCUUAACUCCUUCACACUUAAUAUAUGGUAGAGCAAUUAAUAUUAUGCCACAGAACGAAGUUACUAAAGACGAGAAUAGUUGUGAGGAGAGAUUUAAGUACGUGUCGUUAAAGUUAGAGCACUUCUGGAAGAGGUGGCAAAAGGAGUAUCUAACAGGGUUGAGAGAGUUCCAUAAAUGCAAAAACGGAGGUAGAUUGAGAGAAGUAAAGAAGGGAGACGUAGUGACAGUGUACGGAGAAGGAGGAAAGAGAUGUGGUUGGAAGUUAGCAGUUGUAGAAGAGUUAAUUGUAGAUAAGGACAAGGAGGUCCGAGGGGCCAAAGUAAAGGUUGCAGGCAAGGGUAGACCAGUCUAUUUGAAUAGGCCUAUACAGAAGUUAUUCCCAUUGGAGGUUCAAGCUCGACCGGGUGGGAAUGGGCAGGGAAAGGAUUCCCCCAUAGCUAAAGCAGACGGAUCCUUGCAUGUCUUGCAUGAUCGUCCGAGACGGGCUGCUGCAGCAAUUUCCAAAGCGAAGACAAAGGCGAUGCUUGAUUCAUAGACCUUUAUGAAUCAAGGUGGGUGGGGUGUCGUAGGUUCCCAGCGCAGCGCCGCCAAUUCAUUCUACUUUAAAUAUACUUCAUGUAAUAUAUCAGUAUUGUGCUUGACGUAAUUCAUGUUAAAUCGUAAAUAAGUCUUUGUAUGUGUAAAUUGAUACGUCACAGUGACACAUUGUAAUUUAGUAGGGUAAUCAAAUAGCUAGGGAGUGAUUGAAUGUCAUUGUUGCCGUCAGAUCGUAGCGAGACAAUCGGAAUGUUUAACAGUCUAAAACUCACGUUGUAAAUAGUAUACUUUCACAUAUUACAAUCAAUACAAUUAUAAAAUACAGUCCCUUGAGCGUUUACUGAAUGAACCAGACGGUGGAAUCACAAGUUCCGCAACAGAAAUCAAUGUA